rnacentral:rRNA from 1 species
GUUUGAUCCUGGCUCAGGAUGAACGCUGGCGGCGUGCUUAACACAUGCAAGUCGAACGGGAAACCUUUUAUUGAAGCUUCGGCAGAUUUAGAUUGUUUCUAGUGGCGGACGGGUGAGUAACGCGUGGGUAACCUGCCUUAUACAGGGGGAUAACAGUCAGAAAUGACCGCUAAUACCGCAUAAGCGCACAGAGCUGCAUGGCUCGGUGUGAAAAACUCCGGUGGUAUAAGAUGGACCCGCGUUGGAUUAGCUAGUUGGUGAGGUAACGGCCCACCAAGGCGACGAUCCAUAGCCGGCCUGAGAGGGUGAACGGCCACAUUGGGACUGAGACACGGCCCAGACUCCUACGGGAGGCAGCAGUGGGGAAUAUUGCACAAUGGGGGAAACCCUGAUGCAGCGACGCCGCGUGAAGGAAGAAGUAUCUCGGUAUGUAAACUUCUAUCAGCAGGGAAGAAAAUGACGGUACCUGACUAAGAAGCCCCGGCUAACUACGUGCCAGCAGCCGCGGUAAUACGUAGGGGGCAAGCGUUAUCCGGAUUUACUGGGUGUAAAGGGAGCGUAGACGGAUGGACAAGUCUGAUGUGAAAGACUGGGGCUCAACCCCGGGACUGCAUUGGAAACUGCCCG